GAUGAAGAACGCAGCGAAAUGCGAUACUUGGUGUGAAUUGCAGAAUCCCGUGAACCAUCGAGUCUUUGAACGCAAGUUGCGCCCGAAGCCAUUAGGCCGAGGGCACGCCUGCCUGGGCGUCACACGUCGUUGCCCCCCCCAUCUACUCCUUCGGGAUUGCGGGGGGCGGAUGAUGGCCUCCCGUGCGCCUCGCCGCGCGGUUGGUAUAAUGCCAAGUCCUCGGCGACGCACGCCACGACAAUCGGUGGUUGCGAAACCUCGGUUGCCCGUCGUGUGCGGUCGUCGCGCAUCGAGGGCUCGAAAAAAUUGCCGAGUUCCGGCUCGGCUUUCAACGCGACCCCAGGUCAGGCGGGGUUACCCGCUGAAUUUAAGCAUAUCAAUAAGCGGAGGA
rnacentral:misc_RNA from 1 species